rnacentral:lncRNA from 1 species
UUUUCAUUGAUGUAUUAUAGUUGUACUUUGACCUUCUGAGUUCGGCUUAUGGUUAAUAUACUGUUUUCAAGGUCCAUCUAUUUCCUUGAAAAUGCCAUAAUUUUAUUUUCUCUAUGGCUGAAUAAAACUCCAUUGUGUAUAUAACUUACGUUUUCUUUAUCCAUUCAUCCAUUGAUGGACACCUAGGCUGGUUCCAUAGUUUGGCUAUUGUGAACUGUGCUUCUAUAAACAUGGGCAUGCAUGCAUCACUGUAGUAUGAUGACUUUAAUUCUUUAGGAUAAAUACUGAGUAGUAGCACAGCUGGAUCAAAUGGUGGUUCUUUGAGAAACUUCUGUAUUGAUUUCCAUAGUAGUUGCACUAAUUUACAAUCCCACCAACAGUGUAAAAGUGUUCCCUUUUCUCUAGAAUUUACUAUUUGUAUUCUUGCUGACUGCCAUUCUGAUUGGUAUGAGAUGAAAUCUCAGUGUAGUUUUGAUUUGCAUUUCCCUAAUUUCUAAUGAUAUUGAGCAUUUAUCAUAUAUUUAUUGGCCAUUUGUAUUUCUUCUUUUGGAAAGUGUCUGUUUAAUUCAUUGACUCAUUUAUUAAUUUGGUUAUUUGAUUUUUUGGUGUAAAGUGUUUUGAAUUCUUUAUAUGUUCUAAAUAUUAAUCCUCCAUCAGAACAGUAAAGCUUUUCUCCCAUUUUGUAUAUUCUUUCUUCACAUUCUUAAUUGUUUCCUUUGCUGUGCUUUUUAAUUUGAUGCCAUCCAUUUAUUAACUCCUGGCAUUAUUUCCUUAGCUUUAGGGGUCCUAUUGAGAAAAUUGUUACCUGUGCCUACAUGCUGGAGGGUUGACCCUAUUUUAUGGAUGAAAUUUCUGGAGAUUUUCAUAUCUUUGCCAAACCUUUCCUUUUUUUCCUUAAGCAUAUUGUGAAGUGAGUCCUUGUUUGCUGGCUUCAGUACCUUCUCUUGGUUGUUUUAUCUUUCCUGUUUACCUUUUCCACUUUCCAUUUUAUUACUUCCUUGCCCAAUGUUGUAGAUGGUUGUUAUAGAACCUUUAUGUUUUGCUUUUUCUUUCCAAGACUGCUAACAUUAGUUUCAACAUUUAGUUAAUUACUAAAGAACUACUUAUAUCUAAAAUCAGAAUACUCUUGUUUUUAUUUGUUCUUUUUAGAUAUACAUGGCAGUAGAAUAUGAAAGAAUGAUCAAGGCUUGCCGUUGGAUAAAAUGCCAGUUUAUUGAGUCAGCUCUGCAUAUUUAUAGAGCCGGGGGGUGGUCUGAGGGUUGAAACAGUUUAAUGGUUUUGGCAGCUGGCAUGGGGUGCUUUCUAAUUGGUGGGUAAGGAUCAUGUGAGUCACCAGGACUCACCAUUGGAUGGUGAUGGGGAAGUUCUGAUUGGUGGGUAAGGAUCAUGUGAGUUAGCGGGGCUCACCAUUGGAAGGCUCUUCUUGGGGGAUGGGGAGAUUAGUCUUUGGUGCUGGGCCGACUCCCAACAGAAAAUAUUUUGACAUAUUAUACAUACGUGGAGAAUGACUAGUUCUAAUUAGGAUCCCAUUCUUGUGGUUGAACAUGAUGUGGAGUUUCACAGGUAUUCAUAUGUGAACACAGGAAAGUUAUGUCUUAUUUAUUUUACUAUCUUUCCUAUUCCCAUCUGUCCUUCCUUCCCUUCAUCUCCCUUUGUCUAAUCCAAUGAACUUCUGUUCUUCACUAUUUACCCUUUAUUCUGUGUUAGUAUCCACUUAUCAGAGAGAACAUUCAGAUUUUGCUUUUGGAGGAUUGGUUUAUUUCACUUAACAUUAUAAUCUCCAGUUCCAUCCAUUUACUGGUAAAUGCCAUAAUCUUAAUUUUUAUGGCUCAGUAAUAUUCCAUUAUGUAUAUAUACCACAUUUUCUUUAUCCAUUCUUCUGUUGAAGGGCACCUAGUUUGGUCCCAUAGCUUAGCUAUUGUGAGUUGAGCUGCUAUAAACUUUAAUGUGGUUGUGUCACUGCAGUGUGCUGAUUUUAAGUACUUUGGGUAUAUACUGAGGAGUGUGAUAACUGGGUCAAAUGAUGGUUCCAUUCCAAGUUUUCUGAGGAAUCUCCAUACUGUUUUCCAGAUUGGUUGCACUAAUUUGCAAUCCUGCCAGCAAUGUAUUAGUGUAACUUUCCCCCCACAUCCUUGCCAACAUUUCUUGUUACUUGUAGUCUUGAUGAUUGGCAUUCUGACUGGAGUGAGAUGGAAUCUCAGUGUAGUUUUAAUUUUCAGUUCUCUAAUUGCUAGAGAUGUUGAACAUUUUUUCAUAUAUCUGUUGACUGAUUCUAUUUUUUUUUCUUCUGUGAAGUGUCGUUCAUUUCCUUUGCCCAUUCAUUGAUUGGGUUUUUUUUUUUUGUUGUUGUUGUUAAUUUUUUUGAGUUAUUUGUGUAUUCUGGAGAUUAAUGCUCUAUCUGAGGUUCAGGUGGCAGAGAUUUUCUCCCAUUCUGUAGGCUCUCUCUUCAUAUUCUUGAUUGUUUUAUUUGCUGUGAAGAAGAUUUUUAAUUUAAUAUCAUCCCAUUUAUUGAUUCUUGAUUUUACUUUUUGCUCUUUAGAAGUCUUGUUGAGGAAUUCAUUUUCUAUGCUGGCAUAAUGGAGAGUUGGGCCUACAUUUUCUUCUAUUAGGUUCAGGAUCUCUGGUCUAAUGCCUAGGUCCUAGAUCCACUUUGAGUUGAGUUUGUGUAGGGUGAGAGAUAGAGGUUAAAUUUCAUUCUACUACCUGUGGAUUUCCAGUUUUCCCUGCACCAUAUGUUGAAGAGGCUAUCUUUUCUCUAAUGUAUGUUUAUGGUACCUUUGUCUAGUAUGAAAUAACUGUACAUAUAUAUGAGUUUGUCUCUAUGUCUUCUAUUCUGUUCCAUUGGUUAUCAUGUCAAAAUCAUAAUACUCUUGAUCCUACGUUAAGCUUGAUUUCAGUCUUUGUUUAGGCAGAUUAUUUUAGUUGGUACUUACUCCAAGGUCAUUGUCUUCACUCCUUGGUCUCAACUUGAUCUUCAUCCUGAUGUCUCAACUGAAAACUCAGAUUUGGCUCAUCUAAAAUUCCCCCAUGUCCCCUGCACUCUUAGCCUUUGCGAUUUCUACUUAGCACAGCAAACCCUAAGUAGCUGUCCUAUGAUAGGUUUCAUGGUAUGUCACCUUAGGCACAUGCAGCCUAGGAGUGUGACUUUAGGGUAUUCUCGUAGUUUUCUCUCAGUACUCUAGCCUCCAAUCCCUGCACCUUGGCACCCUCAAAUUCUGCUCUGUUUGCUUUGCCUCCUGACAUUGCUUCUCUUUGCCUGAGUUCUAUUUCCCUGCAUUGUAGUUUGGAAAAUGCUUUAGGAAGAGAAUUGAUGAGAGUGUGUUUCACUUCAGGUACUUGCAUUUUCUCAAAGAUGGUAGUGCUGAGUUGGCUGCAGCUAUAUGCCUGAAACAACUGCAUUAUAUAUUUUGUCUCCCUUUAAUCCUUGUUCACAGUGUGAGGAUGUAUUUAUAAGCAGCGUCUGUUUGACAGUAUAGACAGAAUAGAAGACACAGAGACAAACCCAUAUAUAUACAGUUAUUUCAUACUAUUUUUUCCAGAAAACUCUAAUUUCUCUAUCUUUACUUUCAUUUGUGCUGAUGCAUAUGGUGGUUUGCCACUUGACAGUAAGAGUAAUAUCUAUUAUAUCUUGCUGCCUGGUUGAAAUCUCAGUUUCAUCUUUAAUGAACGUAUGCACAGAAACACACACACACACACACAGACAUACACUUUUGUUACAUGUUUUCCCUUUUAAGUUCAAACAUUUUCAAAUUGCUGUAGAAAUGAUUUAAACUAUUUCUGUCUCAUUUAAGAAACAUUUUCUCACUCAAAUAUCU